UACGUAGGGUGCAAGCGUUAAUCGGAAUUACUGGGUUUAAAGGGUGCGUAGGCGGUUCUUUAAGUCCGGGGUGAAAGCCCACUGCUCAACAGUGGAACUGCCCUGGAAACUGGAGAACUUGAGUACAGACGAGGGCGGCGGAAUGGAUGGUGUAGCGGUGAAAUGCAUAGAUACCAUCCAGAACCCCGAUUGCGAAGGCAGCUGCCUAGACUGUAACUGACGCUGAGGCACGAAAGCGUGGGGAGCGAACAGG
rnacentral:rRNA from 1 species